rnacentral:rRNA from 1 species
AAUGAACGUUGGCGGCGUGGAUUAGGCAUGCAAGUCGCGCGAUAAAUUGCCUUCGGGCGAUGGAAAGCGGCGAAAGGGAGAGUAACACGCGGGUACCUACCCUCAGGACCGGGAUAGCUGCGGGAAACUGCAAUUAAUACCGGAUGAUGUCUCCGGACCAAAGGUGUGAUUCCGCCGGAGGAGGGGCCCACGUCCUAUCAGCUAGUUGGCGAGGUAAUAGCUCACCAAGGCUACGACGGGUACGGGGUGUGAGAGCAUGCCCCCGCUCACUGGGACUGAGACACUGCCCAGACACCUACGGGUGGCAG